rnacentral:rRNA from 1 species
AGUCUGGUGCCAGCAGCCGCGGUAAUUCCAGCUCCAAUAGCGUAUAUUAAAGUUGUUGCAGUUAAAAAGCUCGUAGUUGAACCUUGGGCCUGGCUGGCCGGUCUGCCUCACCGCAUGCACUGGUCCGGCCGGGCCUUUCCCUCUGGGGAGCCGCAUGCCCUUCACUGGGUGUGUCGGGGAACCAGGACUUUUACUGUGAAAAAAUUAGAGUGUUCAAAGCAGGCAUAUGCUCGAAUACAUUAGCAUGGAAUAAUAGGAUAGGACGUCGCGGUUCUAUUUUGUUGGUUUCUAGGACCGCCGUAAUGAUUAAUAGGAACAGUCGGGGGCAUCAGUAUUCAAUCGUCAGAGGUGAAAUUCUUGGAUCGAUUGAAGACUAACUACUGCGAAAGCAUUUGCCACGGAUGUUUUCAUUAAUCAGGAACGAAAGUUAGGGGAUCGAGAACGAUCAGAUACCGUCGUAGUCUUAACCAUAAACUAUGCCGACUAGGGAUCGAGCGAUGUUAUUCUUGACUCGCUCGGCACCUUACACGAA